AGUUGUGGCCACACCGUUCUGCGAGUGCCAGAUCCUGUCAGAUCUCAGAAGCUGAGCGGGGCUGGGCCUUGUUUGUACUUGGAUGGGAGACUGCCUUGGAAGGUAGAAGUACUGAGGUUG
rnacentral:rRNA from 12 species